GGAGUCGGAGGCGCGGGCCAGGGAGAACAACACAGAUAAGACUAAUGGUGACUCCAGUCCUGAUGAUAAGAAGCAGGAGUCGGACAAGGAGAAGCCUGCUGAAGAGGCCUCUACAGGAGAUAACAGCAGUGUAGUGAAGGCCCAAGAGGAAUCCACCUGAUGAUGAAGAAACCUAUCUGACUGACUGAACUGAAGGGAAUGUUGGUGCUGCUGACCUGAACUCACUGCUCCUGAGUCCUGACUGAUCUGUGCUGCCACCACUUGCACACACUAGUCCAAACACCACCAAUCAGAGGUUAACUCCUGUUGCUAUGACUACAUGUCCAUCUCAAAUAGUACAAAUCCAGGCUCUUUUCUGGUUUGCACACCCACGUCCUUCUAAACCUUACAGAGCAGUGUCUUCCAUAGUCUUAUUUUAGAUUUCUUUUAACGAUUUAACUAUGGCUGUUUUUAAACUGAUGGUAGUAAAAAGUGGUUCCAUAAGGAAGAUAUAUUGUUAGUUUAAUACAGGCAUAUCUAACCCAUCCCUGACCUCAUAUUGUUUGUUUAAACUAUUCUACUAAGAAGUGAAAUGUUGACCAUAUCAUGUUUGAGAAGGUCAUGGCAAAAAUGGAGUGGGUCAACGAAGCUGUAUAUUCUGUUUUGGAAUAUUUGACCAGAUAGUCUGUUUUUAGAAUCACUUAACGUUUGACAUCCCAAUAUCUUUCAGUUCAACUCAAUUCUCCCAAUUAUACAAGAUGGAUGAUGUAUGGUAAGACUACAUAUACGGUAGUUACUGGUAGAGGAGUCUUUGUAUUACUUGUUAGUUUAGUAAAUGUAAUCAAUACUGACCAAUAUUACUCCUAGAGUAGGUGUACAUAUUUUUUUCAGAAUGUUCUUGCACAGAAAGGAAAUACUACUCCAGUGUGACAGUUUAUUUUGCCAAUAAAGUGCUUUUCUUUUUCUCGCACACCCACAUUUAAAUGUGUUUUUAAGUCCUCCAUUUUGCUGACAUUGAUGUAAAUAAGAGUAUUUUUGUGCCUGUCUGAAAGCCUGUUUUUGCCUCCUUUAAAUAAAGCAAUGGUUCAAUAACA